rnacentral:rRNA from 1 species
UUUGACUGGGGCGGUCUCCUCCCAAAGAGUAACGGAGGAGCACGAAGGUGGGCUAAUCACGGUUGGACAUCGUGAGGUUAGUGCAAUGGCAUAAGCCCGCUUAACUGCGAGAAUGACGGUUCGAGCAGGUGCGAAAGCAGGUCAUAGUGAUCCGGUGGUUCUGUAUGGAAGGGCCAUCGCUCAACGGAUAAAAGGUACUCCGGGGAUAACAGGCUGAUACCGCCCAAGAGUUCAUAUCGACGGCGGUGUUUGGCACCUCGAUGUCGGCUCAUCACAUCCUGGGGCUGAAGUCGGUCCCAAGGGUAUGGCUGUUCGCCAUUUAAAGUGGUACGCGAGCUGGGUUUAGAACGUCGUGAGACAGUUCGGUCCCUAUCUGCCGUGGGCGUUGGAAGAUUGAAGGGGGCUGCUCCUAGUACGAGAGGACCGGAGUGGACGAACCUCUGGUGUUCGGGUUGUGUCGCCAGACGCAUUGCCCGGUAGCUAAGUUCGGAAUUGAUAAGCGCUGAAAGCAUCUAAGCGCGAAGCGAGCCCUGAGAUGAGUCUUCCCUGACAGUUUAACUGUCCUAAAGGGUUGUUCGAGACUAGAACGUUGAUAGGCAGGGUGUGUAAGCGUUGUGAGGCGUUGAGCUAACCUGUACUAAUUGCCCGUGAGGCUUAACCAUACAACACCCAAGG